rnacentral:rRNA from 2 species
CUUGACCUCGGAUCAGG